rnacentral:misc_RNA from 1 species
AUUCCGUAGGUGAACCUGCGGAAGGAUCAUUCAUAAUAAGUGUUUUAUGGCACUUUUUUAAAUCCAUAUCCACCUUGUGUGCAAUGUCAGGGUUGAUUUUUCUCUCGAGAGGAUCAGCCCCAAACAUCAACUAUAUCUCAACUCUUUGUCUGAAAAUAUUAUGAAUAAAACAAUUCAAAAUUCAACUUUCAACAACGGAUCUCUUGGCUCUC